rnacentral:misc_RNA from 1 species
UUUCUUUCUUUCUUUCUUUAUUUUGCACCUCUCCCCUGCUUUGACCCACUGAAUCCAAAGCAAAGCGCGUGGCGGCACCGCAAAGUGUAGUAUUGAAUUUUGUUUAGCAUAAAUGAAAUUUUUAAGAAAAAAAAUGUUUAAAAUCUUAUUUUUAUGGUUUAUAUAUAUAUAAUAUAAGCCAUGAUCUGGAAAACAACUGCGGCGCAGGCUGUGGCUCGCCGCCGAUAUGGCAGCUGUCUACCAGAACAUUUUGAUUGGAAAACGGUGGGCCAUAGUUUGCCGCUGUA